UGCGCUGAGAGGAAGAAAAAACAAAAAAAAAAACAGAGUAUAACAUGGGAGAGAAAUAAAAAGCCCUGCGGGACACGUGUUGGGACGACUGGCUUCCUCCUGGCGCGUGUAGGUUGCCAGACAACGAUCUGGCUCUUUGAUUGGUGCAGCCACAUUUAAAAGCCUGAUGGGGAUUGGCUGCUGCUGCUGCUUGACGUUUGCUUCCUGUUUCCAGCCUUAAGGGACCAUUGACCGUGUUGGAUCAACCUGAACACCCACACACACACACACACACACACACACACUCCUGGACAUCCACCGUUUUGGCAUGAUUACAGCUUCCUGAUUGCCGUCUUGUAAAUUAAACCUGCUCCUGCACACACACACACACACACACACACACCAAGCCGGGCGCUCGCCUUCCGUGCGGCGUGGACGCCCACCCGACCGACCUGUCAGCGAUGACAUCACACAGCCACCAAGAGGGGAUCCUGGGGAAGGAGCAGCCGCUGGAGGUUCUGAAGACGUCGGCGCUCAACCACAUCCCAACAGGUUGGCCACUGUGUGUGUGUGUGUGCGUCUGUGUGUGUGUGUGUGUGUGCAUGAGCUUCUGUAAACCAAAGACAGUGUGUGUGUGUGUGUGUGUGUGUGUGUGUGCACUACGUGAUUUCAAUAUUAACCACAUCCUGUGCAACUUUGCAUGCAUAGGUGCUUGUUCCUAGAAUGUGUCUGAUUUCCAUUCAGUUUUUUUAAAUAAUUGAAGUGUCCUCACUCUAAACACCACCUGUUCUCUGUGACAUUCACAAACAUGUUUUUUCCUAAUUGCCAGUGGAUUACAAUAAGUCCCAAGAAGAGUCCACGCUGACUCCUGUACGCUUGAUUUAUGCAGUGCCAUUUUGUUGAAUGGAAGUGCAGCCGCCUGAAUGUUGGCGCUCCGCUUGUGAGCUGAAACGCCUCGAGAGGAAUGGCCGGCAAAAAUAUACAGCAAAACACAAACAAGUAAAUUGUGAAUAUCUUGGUGAUGUGUUUGCUGCAAGUCCCCGAAGGCACGGAGAUAGUCCCAAAACAAAUCACAGCUUGGACUGAAAAAACAAUAUAUAUAAUAGGUGAAAAUAAGCUUCUCUCUCCAAAUCCCCAUCUGCUGCAAGUAUUCUGUCUCCUUUGCGGGAAGUCAAAAACAUCACAAAGUGUUGCACUGUAUUUACAAGAGCUUCCUCCACCUCCAGUCCAUGCGAACAGUGUGGAACAGGAGGCAGCAGAGACGGAGCUGUGUGUAGAGUACACAAAUGAAAGGGGCACAGAUGGAGAUGAGGUAAUCUGAAGGAGAAACGAGAGAUGAGGUAAUAUAUGCAUAAUGCAUUAUCUGAUUCCAUAAUGAGGACGUGCUUUUCAUUCAUCACCACAGAGAACAUGGUUUUCAUAAAAAAAAUAAUGGAUUUAGUAGGUUGGUGCUCUUUAGCUCCGUGUUUCUACGAUGCCACAGAGCAGCAGGAAGCAGGAAGCUGCUGUUCAACACUCAGCCUGGUCUGUUGCUUUGGAGGAACAAACAGAAAACAACUUCUUCCUCACUUUGACCCAAAGUAUCCUUUCUUUCUUUCUGAGGCACGCUCUCUCUCAUGUUGUUGUUGGGGUUGUGUUCUGCGCGCCUCCGGCGAGGCUGAUAAAAUAUUGAAAUUCACUGGAGUGACUUCAUCAGAUAUUCUCCAAAUCUGUUGUCUUGGAUACAGAGCUGAUGGGGGGGGGUGGGGGCGUGACCCCCGACUGUUUGGAUGUGCACCUGUCUAAGAGCGCUCACGCUGCUUCCUCGUAAGGGAAUGCAAUAAAAGUCUUGCACGCUUUGACGUGAAUGCAAAAGACGCGUUUCUUUUGGGAUGCAAAGCGUCGGUCGCUGCACCUGCCGGGAGCUUCACGGCCUCAAAGGCAAACACCCGAGUUUGGCUUUGCGCGCGAAGCGGCGGAAGUCGUUUGGAAAUAACUGUGCCCGCGAUGCGCCGGACCAUUACCUUGACCUGAGGACUGUUGAACUGGUGCUGAAAACAGCGACAGGAAAUGAACAGAGGGGUGGUACAUAGUCUGAAUUCUUCACCAGUCUGCAUGGAUUGAAGACUGGACUACGGGACUCGAGCAUAUACAGUGUAAAUACUCACCUGGACCUGUUCCUGCACGCCCUACACCUCACCCUUCACACGUGCCUCGCAUCCACCCGUCUCCUCCCCGUUAGGCGCUGCAGACCGCCCGUGCGACGUCACCGAAAGGGCCGCGACAAGUCGGAGCUCGCUUUCUCGGCAGAGCGAGACUCGCCCUCCCUGCCCCGCUCCCCCCGCCCUGUCAGCGUUCUGUCUCGCUUUUUUUUAAGAGGUCACGGUGAUCACAAUCGGCCUUUUGCUGCGAGCUCACAGCCAGGGUUAUCAAUCUCCGAGAGUUUGCAUGGAGGCGAAACUCUGAGAGAGAGAGAGAGAGAGAGAGAGAGAGAGAGAGAGAGAGAGAGAGAAAGUAACGUAGGCGGAUGUUCACGCAACCCACCCUCGGAGACCAAUCAGUGAGCCGACCGCAGCUAUUUUCCACCAUCAACAGAUGUGCUACUUGUUGCCUCUCAUCCCACCCUGCUGCUAAAUUCACUGUGAAACCCUGUGCAGAACAUCUCCUCUUCCUUGUCAUCUUCUUUGCGUGCUUUAAAAAACGGCUCGGCUCAGUGUGACGUCUAUUAAGCCUAACGAGCGUGGAGCUCAGGCAGUCGGACCGUGGGAUGUACGCUCGGCGAACCGAGCCUCCGAAUCAAAAGAGACGCCAGGCCCUUCUGCAUUGUCUGGUAUAAAUAGAUCUGCAAUUGGAGCCAGAAGAGUUGUGGAGUGCGCCGGAGGGGCUGUAAACAGAUUGUGAUCUGUUGCGGGGAGAUGGAGGGGAGAAAGGUGGGAGGGAGCGGGGCCGGAGGACAGGUCACGAAGGAUGGGGGGGGGAGUGAGGAGAGGAGCCUGCUGUGAGGGAACGAGGUCAAGGAGUAAAGGUUUGGCUGAGGGAAGAAAAAGCUGUCAGAGAGUGGAAUAAAAAAACAGAGCGGUGGAGGGAUUGGAGAUAUCCCCCCCCCCCCCCUCAUGCCUCAAAUGUGCUCCAUAUCAAACUGAAGGAAACUUUUGAGCGCUCAAAGGAAAGGAGCGAACAGAAAGUACCUGCUCUUGUCAAACUGGUGUUGCCUCAUGCGUGUUACCGGGCAGUUUAGUGUGUGUGUGUGUGUGUGUGUGUGUGUGUGUGUGUGUGUG